CCCGAGACUGGAGUCACAUCCUGACAGCGCUUGCCCCGGUGUGCUCGAGUUCUCGGACAGGAUCUGCUGGUCUUGACUCCCUGGCGAGGGCACUCAGUGCCCCUGGUGGUGCCCGGAUCAGAACCACAC